rnacentral:lncRNA from 1 species
CUAAGUCAAAUUGUUAUAGCCCUAGAAGGAGCAGCCAUGUCGUCCUCUGAGUAUUCAGCCUAUUACCUAGAAAGAGAAGGGUCAAUUAACGGAAAGAGAAGCGUGGUAAAGUAAACGUUGAAUUGAAUGGGGGAAGGGAGACAUCCGAUUCAACCGCAAUGUUUGAGGGAAAUUACAUGGUGUAUUUGGACACAUGAAGGCAAAUAGAGGAAUGAAGAUGAUCAGUCUUGCAUUCAAAAUGAAAUUCUUAUCUACGAAAAGAAACAAUGAAAAGUGUUCAAUUAUUCAAAGUUCCCAAGCCGGCCGCUUCCUUCUCAAGUGACGAUAACAGGCAUAAGGGGGUCAAGGAAUCCCAAUUACAGGCACCAGAAAAUUUGGAUACAUGACUCGCCAUUGUGUGAGCAGCAAAGUUGCGUGUGCGAGGACCAAAAGAGAAACAAAUAGAUGUGAACUGUUGACUAAGUAUACGAAUAUCAUGGAGGAUCUAUUCUUCGUUGGCGUCAGGGCAACUUCCUUCACGAAGGGCGUCGAUCAGGAUUUUUGAGUCAUGUAGGGCGUCAGCCAUCCGUGUUGCACACCAGCUGCAGCACCUGCUCGAAUCCCCUCUGCCUCUUUGUGGUACAUCCAACAUAACGUAAAAUGUAUUGUUUUAC